rnacentral:rRNA from 1 species
UACGGAGGGUGCAAGCGUUAUCCGGAUUUACUGGGUUUAAAGGGUGCGCAGGCGGAUAUGUAAGUCAGUGGUGAAAUCUCCGGGCUUAACCCGGAAACUGCCGUUGAUACUAUAUAUCUUGAAUGCUGUGGAGGUAAGCAGAAUAUGUCAUGUAGCGGUGAAAUGCUUAGAGAUGACAUAGAAUACCUGUUGCGAAGGCAGCUUACUACGCAGAUAUUGACGCUCAUGCACGAAAGCGUGGGGAUCAAACAGG